UUUAUGGAGAGUUUGAUCCUGGCUCAGGAUGAACGCUGGCGGCGUGCCUAAUACAUGCAAGUCGAGCGAACGGACGAGAAGCUUGCUUCUCUGAUGUUAGCGGCGGACGGGUGAGUAACACGUGGAUAACCUACCUAUAAGACUGGGAUAACUUCGGGAAACCGGAGCUAAUACCGG
rnacentral:rRNA from 1 species